UGGGGAAUCUUGCGCAAUGGACGAAAGUCUGACGCAGCGACGCCGCGUGGGUGAUGAAGGCCUUCGGGUUGUAAAGCCCUGUGGGGAGGGACGAAUAAGUGCAGGCUAAUACUCUGCAUGAUGACGGUACCUCCUUAGCAAGCACCGGCUAACUCUGUGCCAGCAGCCGCGGUAAGACAGAGGGUGCGAACGUUGUUCGGAAUUACUGGGCGUAAAGCGCGUGUAGGCGGUCGUGCAAGUCGGGUGUGAAAGCCCUGGGCUCAACCCAGGAAGUGCAUUCGAUACUGCUCGACUGGAGUCCCGGAGAGGAUGGUGGAACUCUCGGUGUAGAGGUGAAAUUCGUAGAUAUCGAGAAGAACACCGGUGGCGAAGGCGGCCAUCUGGACGGUGACUGACGCUGAGACGCGAAAGCGUGGGGAGCAAACAGGAUUAGAUACCCCCGUAGUCC
rnacentral:rRNA from 1 species